UCUGCCUUGAGAUCGGAGUGCUUGCACUCUGUGAAACAAGAUACAGGCUAGCGGCGGACGGGUGAGUAACACGUGGGUAACCUGCCCAAGAGAUCGGGAUAACACCUGGAAACAGAUGCUAAUACCGGAUAACAACAGAUGAUGCCUAUCAACUGUUUAAAAGAUGGUUCUGCUAUCACUCUUGGAUGGACCUGCGGUGCAUUAGCUAGUUGGUAGGGUAACGGCCUACCAAGGCGAUGAUGCAUAGCCGAGUUGAGAGACUGAUCGGCCACAUUGGGACUGAGACACGGCCCAAACUCCUACGGGAGGCAGCAGUAGGGAAUCUUCCACAAUGGACGCAAGUCUGAUGGAGCAACGCCGCGUGAGUGAAGAAGGGUUUCGGCUCGUAAAGCUCUGUUGUUGGUGAAGAAGGACAGGGGUAGUAACUGACCUUUGUUUGACGGUAAUCAAUUAGAAAGUCACGGCUAACUACGUGCCAGCAGCCGCGGUAAUACGUAGGUGGCAAGCGUUGUCCGGAUUUAUUGGGCGUAAAGCGAGUGCAGGCGGCUCGAUAAGUCUGAUGUGAAAGCCUUCGGCUCAACCGGAGAAUUGCAUCAGAAACUGUCGAGCUNNNGUACAGAAGNNNNNAGUGGAACUCCAUGUGUAGCGGU
rnacentral:rRNA from 1 species